CAGUCGCCGCGGGAAUACGUAGGUGGCAAGCGUUGUCCGGAAUUAUUGGGCGUAAAGGGCACGCAGGCGGUUUCUUAAGUCUGAUGUGAAAGCCCCCGGCUCAACCGGGGAGGGUCAUUGGAAACUGGGAAACUUGAGUGCAGAAGAGGAGAGUGGAAUUCCACGUGUAGCGGUGAAAUGCGUAGAGAUGUGGAGGAACACCAGUGGCGAAGGCGACUCUCUGGUCUGUAACUGACGCUGAGGAGCGAAAGCGUGGGGAGCGGACAGGAUUAGAGACCCCCGUAGUCCCUGUCUCUUAUAC
rnacentral:rRNA from 1 species